GUGCCCUCUUUAGCUGCACACAUAAUAAAAUCCAAGUGAUACAGAGAAGAUUAGCAUGACCCUUGCCAACUACUUUAGAGUUGUUCACACUGUUU
ensembl:snRNA U6 U6 spliceosomal RNA